rnacentral:rRNA from 1 species
UACGGAGGGUGCAAGCGUUAUCCGGAUUCACUGGGUUUAAAGGGUGCGUAGGCGGGUUGGUAAGUCCGUGGUGAAAUCUCCAAGCUUAACUUGGAAACUGCCGUGGAUACUAUCAAUCUUGAAUGUCGUGGAGGUAAGCGGAAUAUGUCAUGUAGCGGUGAAAUGCUUAGAGAUGACAUAGAACACCAAUUGCGUAGGCAACUUACUACACGAAUAUUGACGCUGAGGCACGAAAGCGUGGGGAGCAAACAGG